UGCUUGAACCUGGGUCGAAGAAUCGGGGCUCGCCAGCCGACUCCUAAAGCGGAGGCGACUGGCGAGACCCGAAGAUCAGAGGGAGGAGA
ensembl:miRNA Mir8105 microRNA 8105